UUCAGGCCAUGACUGUCCAAUAGGUUUGAGGCACCUAUGGGUCUAAAGAAAGAGUGGGAAAGAUUAAUAUUUGAACAAAAGUAUGGGGAAGCAUUCACUUCAGCCCAUGAAUUGUUGGAUGUUUAUUUGGUUUUUAGAUAAUGCAGAUUUUGCUUAGUUUUUCAGAGUUUAUAAUUGAGAAGAUGAGCAUGUGCUCUUGAAGAAGCUAUUCGUUGGGGUACUGAUUAUCUUCUCAAAGCUACUGCUCAUCCAAACACCUUAUAUGUGCAGUUGAGAGUUUUGUCUAUGGCGGCACAAAAACAAAGAGCAAAUCUGGGACUGGACUUGAGUCAGCAAUGGAAUCUGAACAUCUGACAGGUUGGGGGAGUUGAGACUGUUACUCUUUGAGAUGAUGAAGCCCGUGUUAGAGGUUCUCAGAAAAGC